rnacentral:lncRNA from 1 species
CUUUAUUUAUAACUAAUAUAGGACAAUGCUGUUAAUUAAAAAAUACUCCAUUCCUGGACCUUUUGUUUUCCAAAUAAUUAAUAUUACCAAUAAUUGAUAAGUUCCAGUUCGACGGGUUCAAACAGAAAGAUUUGAAAGCCGAGAAAACAGUGUAUCUUAUAAUCGGCAUGACUUUAUCAGAUGACAAUACUAAUACUAAAAUAAGGCUUGCGCAUAGUUAUAUACUUUAAUUCAGUCACGGACCCGCGAUAUCACGG